rnacentral:rRNA from 1 species
GAUGAACGCUAGCGGCAGGCUUAACACAUGCAAGUCGAGGGGUAGAAGGAGCUUGCUCCUUUGAGACCGGCGCACGGGUGCGUAACGCGUAUGCAAUCUACCUUUUGCAGAGGGAUAGCCCAGAGAAAUUUGGAUUAAUACCUCAUAGUAUGUGAGGAUGGCAUCAUUUUCACAUUAAAGUCACAACGGCAAAAGAUGAGCAUGCGUCCCAUUAGCUAGUUGGUAGGGUAACGGCUUACCAAGGCUACGAUGGGUAGGGGUCCUGAGAGGGAGAUCCCCCCACACUGGUACUGAGACACGGACCAGACUCCUACGGGAGGCAGCAGUGAGGAAUAUUGGACAAUGGGCGCAAGCCUGAUCCAGCCAUGCCGCGUGCAGGAUGACGGUCCUAUGGAUUGUAAACUGCUUUUGUACAGGAAGAAACACUACUUCGUGAAGUAGCUUGACGGUACUGUAAGAAUAA